CCUACGGGUGGCAGCAGUGGGGGAUAUUGCACAAUGGGGGGAACCCUGAUGCAGCGACGCCGCGUGGGUGAAGAAGCGCCUCGGCGCGUAAAGCCCUGUCAGCAGGGAAGAAAAUGACGGUACCUGAAGAAGAAGCCCCGGCUAACUACGGGCAAGCAGCCGCGGUAAUACGUAGGGGGCAAGCGUUAUCCGGAUUUACUGGGUGGAAAGGGGGCGCAGACGGGGGUGCAAGGCAGGCGGGAAAGCCCGGGGCCCAACCCCGGUGCUGCUCUUGGAACUGCGGGGCUGGAGUGCAGGAGGGGCAGGCGGAAUUCCUGGUGUAGCGGUGAAAUGCGUAGAUAUCAGGAGGAACACCGGUGGCGAAGGCGGCCUGCUGGACUGCAACUGACGUUGAGGCCCGAAAGCGUGGGGAGCGAACAGGAUUAGAUACCCCUGUAGUC
rnacentral:rRNA from 1 species